GACGAACGCUGGCGGCGUGCUUAACACAUGCAAGUCGAACGGAAAGGCCCUGCUUUUGUGGGGUGCUCGAGUGGCGAACGGGUGAGUAACACGUGAGUAACCUGCCCUUGACUUUGGGAUAACUUCAGGAAACUGGGGCUAAUACCGGAUAGGAGCUCCUGCUGCAUGGUGGGGGUUGGAAAGUUUCGGCGGUUGGGGAUGGACUCGCGGCUUAUCAGCUUGUUGGUGGGGUAGUGGCUUACCAAGGCUUUGACGGGUAGCCGGCCUGAGAGGGUGACCGGCCACAUUGGGACUGAGAUACGGCCCAGACUCCUACGGGAGGCAGCAGUGGGGAAUAUUGAACAAUGGGCGGAAGCCUGAUGCAGCAACGCCGCGUGCGGGAUGACGGCCUUCGGGUUGUAACCCGCUUUCGCCUGUGACGAAGCGUGAGUGACGGUAAUGGGUAAAGAAGCACCGGCUAACUACGUG
rnacentral:rRNA from 1 species